UGGGGAAUAUUGCACAAUGGGCGCAAGCCUGAUGCAGCGACGCCGCGUGGAGGAUGACGGCCUUCGGGUUGUAAACUCCUUUCAGCAGGGAAGAAGCGCAAGUGACGGUACCUGCAGAAGAAGCGCCGGCUAACUACGUGCCAGCAGCCGCGGUAAUACGUAGGGCGCAAGCGUUGUCCGGAAUUAUUGGGCGUAAAGAGCUCGUAGGCGGUGUGUCGCGUCUGCUGUGAAAACUCAAGGCUCAACCUUGGGCUUGCAGUGGGUACGGGCACACUAGAGUGCGGUAGGGGUGACUGGAAUUCCUGGUGUAGCGGUGGAAUGCGCAGAUAUCAGGAGGAACACCGAUGGCGAAGGCAGGUCACUGGGCCGCAACUGACGCUGAGGAGCGAAAGCAUGGGGAGCGAACAGG
rnacentral:rRNA from 1 species